UACGGGGGGGGCAAGCGUUGUUCGGAAUUACUGGGCGUAAAGGGCUCGUAGGCGGCCAACUAAGUCAGACGUGAAAUCCCUCGGCUUAACCGGGGAACUGCGUCUGAUACUGGAUGGCUUGAGUUCGGGAGAGGGAUGCGGAAUUCCAGGUGUAGCGGUGAAAUGCGUAGAUAUCUGGAGGAACACCGGUGGCGAAGGCGGCAUCCUGGACCGACACUGACGCUGAGGCGCGACAGCGUGGGGAGCAAACAGG
rnacentral:rRNA from 1 species